GCGUAGGACGCAAGCGUUAUCCGGAAUUACUGGGCGUAAAGCGUGCGCAGGCGGUUGUGCAAGACAGAUGUGAAAUCCCCGGGCUCAACCUGGGAACUGCCUUUGUGACUGCAUAGCUUGAGUGCGGCAGAGGGGGAUGGAAUUCCGCGUGUAGCAGUGAAAUGCGUAGAUAUGCGGAGGAACACCGAUGGCGAAGGCAAUCCCCUGGGCCUGCACUGACGCUCAUGCACGAAAGCGUGGGGAGCAAACAG
rnacentral:rRNA from 1 species